UACAGAGGUCCCAAGCGUUGUUCGGAUUCAUUGGGCGUAAAGGGUGCGUAGGCGGCGCGGUCAGUCGGGUGUGAAAUCUCGGGGCUUAACUCCGAAACUGCAUUCGAUACUGCCGUGCUUGAGGACUGGAGAGGAGACUGGAAUUUACGGUGUAGCGGUGAAAUGCGUAGAUAUCGUAAGGAAGACCAGUGGCGAAGGCGGGUCUCUGGACAGUUCCUGACGCUGAGGCACGAAGGUCAGGGGAGCAAACGGG
rnacentral:rRNA from 1 species